rnacentral:rRNA from 1 species
UAGUCCACGCCGUAAACGAUGAUCACUAGAUGUUGGUUUCGCAUAGCGAGAUCAGUGUCAAAGCUAACGCGUUAAGUGAUCCGCCUGGGGAGUACGGUCGCAAGACUAAAACUCAAACGGAAUUGACGGGGGUCCGCACAAGCGGUGGAACAUGUGGUUUAAUUCGACACUACGCGAGAAACCUUACCUAGGCUUGACAUGUGGGUGACAGCUAUAGAGAUAUAGUCUUCCUGGUUUUACCGGGACACUUACACAGGUGCUGCAUGGCUGUCGUCAGCUCGUGUCGUGAGAUGUUGGGUUAAGUCCUUUAACGAGCGCAACCCUUGCCGUUAGUUGCUAGCCUUCGGGCGCACUCUAGCGGGACUGCCUUGGAAACAAGGAGGAAGGUGGGGAUGACGUCAAGUCCUCAUGGCCCUUAUGCCUAGGGCUACACACGUGUUACAAUGGCGAGUACAACGGGGAGCAACACUGCGAAGUGAAGCAAAACCCUUAAAGCCCGUCUAAGUUCGGAUUGG